UACGGGGGGGGCAAGCGUUGUUCGGAAUUACUGGGCGUAAAGGGCUCGUAGGCGGCCAACUAAGUCGGACGUGAAAUCCCCAGGCUCAACCUGGGAACUGCGUCCGAUACUGGAUGGCUUGAAUUCGGGAGAGGGAUGCAGAAUUCCAGGUGUAGCGGUGAAAUGCGUAGAUAUCUGGAGGAAUACCGGUGGCGAAGGCGGCAUCCUGGACCGACAUUGACGCUGAGGAGCGAAAGCUAGGGGAGCAAACGGGG
rnacentral:rRNA from 1 species